rnacentral:snRNA from 1 species
AUACUUACCUUGCAGCAGAGUCCUCCGCUCAUCGAUGGCGGAUUCUCGCGGUCUCCCACCUUCACUGCACAUCGAAGGUUGGUACUACGCCAGCUGUCUUCGGGCACCUGGGCUGCUCAAUUUUUGAUUUC